UGACAAAGUUUAACGGCCGCGGUACCCUAACCGUGCGAAGGUAGCAUAAUCACUUGUUCCUUAAAUAGGGACUAGUAUCAACGGCAUCACGAGGGCUAUACGUCUCCUUUCUCCAAUCAGUGAAACUGAUCUCCCCGUGAAGAAGCGGGAAUUAAACUAUAAGACGAGAAGACCCCAUGGAGCUUCAAGCCCAAAAAGCAACUUAUUACUACACUACCUUAAAACAUCAAGUUAUGCUUAUUGGCUUUGGGUUGGGGUGACCGCGGAGUAUAACAUAACCUCCACGAUGUAAAGGAUUUCCCUUAUCUAAGAACAACAAUUCAAAGAGCCCUAAAAAUGUCACAAAAUGAUCCGAACUUCGAUCAACGGACCAAGUUACCCUGGGGAUAACAGCGCAAUCCAUUUCAAGAGCCCCUAUCGACAAAUGGGUUUACGACCUCGAUGUUGGAUCAGGGUAUCCCAGUGGUGCAGCCGCUACUAAAGGUUCGUUUGUUCAACGAUUAAAACCCUACGUGAUCUG
rnacentral:rRNA from 1 species